GAUGAACGCUGGCGGCGUGCCUAAUACAUGCAAGUCGAGCGAACAGAUGAGAAGCUUGCUUCUCUGAUGUUAGCGGCGGACGGGUGAGUAACACGUGGGUAACCUACCUAUAAGACUGGGAUAACUCCGGGAAACCGGGGCUAAUACCGGAUAAUAUUUUGAACCGCAUGGUUCAAUAGUGAAAGACGGUUUCGGUUGUCACUUAUAGAUGGACCCGCGCCGUAUUAGCUAGUUGGUAAGGUAACGGCUUACCAAGGCGACGAUACGUAGCCGACCUGAGAGGGUGAUCGGCCACACUGGAACUGAGACACGGUCCAGACUCCUACGGGAGGCAGCAGUAGGGAAUCUUCCGCAAUGGGCGAAAGCCUGACGGAGCAACGCCGCGUGAGUGAUGAAGGUCUUCGGAUCGUAAAACUCUGUUGUUAGGGAAGAACAAAUUUGUUAGUAACUGAACAAGUCUUGACGGUACCUAACCAGAAAGCCACGGCUAACUACGUGCCAGCAGCCGCUGUAA
rnacentral:rRNA from 1 species